GUGGGGAAUAUUGGACAAUGGGCGCAAGCCUGAUCCAGCAAUGCCGCGUGGGUGAAGAAGGUCUUCGGAUCGUAAAGCCCUUUCGACAGGGACGAUGAUGACGGUACCUGUAGAAGAAGCCCCGGCUAACUUCGUGCCAGCAGCCGCGGUAAUACGAAGGGGGCUAGCGUUACUCGGAAUUACUGGGCGUAAAGGGCGCGUAGGCGGCUCUGUUAGUCAGGCGUGAAAUUCCUGGGCUUAACCUGGGGACUGCGCUUGAUACUGCAGGGCUUGAGGCCGAGAGAGGGUGGUGGAAUUCACAGUGUAGAGGUGAAAUUCGUAGAUAUUGGGAAGAACACCGGUGGCGAAGGCGACCACCUGGCUCGGUUCUGACGCUGAGGCGCGACAGCGUGGGGAGCAAACAGGAUUAGAAACCCUUGUAGUCC
rnacentral:rRNA from 1 species